UCCCCAGUGACUUGGCGGUAAAGGAUCUGCCUGCAGUGCAGAAGCCACAGGUUCAAUCCCUGGGUGGGGAA
rnacentral:tRNA from 1 species